rnacentral:rRNA from 1 species
UACGGAGGGAGCUAGCGUUGUUCGGAAUUACUGGGCGUAAAGCGCACGUAGGCGGCUUUGUAAGUUAGAGGUGAAAGCCCAGGGCUCAACCCUGGAAUUGCCUUUAAGACUGCAUCGCUUGAACAUCGGAGAGGUAAGUGGAAUUCCGAGUGUAGAGGUGAAAUUCGUAGAUAUUCGGAAGAACACCAGUGGCGAAGGCGACUUACUGGACGAUUGUUGACGCUGAGGUGCGAAAGCGUGGGGAGCGAACAGG